UACGUAGGGUGCGAGCGUUAAUCGGAAUUACUGGGCGUAAAGCGUGCGCAGGCGGUUCUCCAAGUCCGUUGUGAAAGCCCCGGGCUCAACCUGGGAAUGGCAGUGGAAACUAGGGGACUGGAAUCUGGCAGAGGGGGGUGGAAUGCCGCGCGUAGCAGUGAAAUGCGUAGAGAUGCGGCGGAACACCGAUGGCGAAGGCAGCCCCCUGGGCUGAGAUUGACGCUCAGGCACGAAAGCGUGGGGAGCAAACAGG
rnacentral:rRNA from 1 species